AGAGUUUGAUCCUGGCUCAGAACGAACGCUGGCGGCGUGGCUAAGACAUGCAAGUCGAACGGUACGUUGUAGCAAUAUGACGUAUAGUGGCGAACGGGUGAGUAAUGAAUAGGUAAUGUACCCUGGGCACAGGGAUACCGCCGGGCCCCGCAAGGGGUCCUUUGCGAAAGUGGCGUUAAUACCUGAUGACAUCCUCGGGCGGCAUCGUCCGAGGACCAAAUGAUGGGGACCGCAAGGCCUAUUGGCCUGGGAACAGCCUAUUUCCUAUCAGCUAGUUGGUGAGGUAACGGCUCACCAAGGCUGCGACGGGUAGCGGGACUGAGAGGUCGGCCCGCCACAUCGGGACUGAGACACUGCCCGGACACCUACGGGUGGCUGCAGUAACGAAUAUUCCGCAAUGGGCGAAAGCCUGACGGAGCGACGCCGCGUGGAGGACGAAUUCCUUCGGGAUGUAAACUUCUUUUGGGGUGAAGAAACCAAAGGGCGAUAAUACCGCUCUGCGUUGAUCGAUCCCCGAAUAAGCCUGGGCUAACUCCGUGCCAGCAGCCGCGGUAAGACGGAGCAGGCAAGCGUUGUUCGGAAUCACUGGGCUUAAAGCGCGUGUAGGCGGCCCGGCAAGUACCUUGUGAAAGCCCUCGACUCAAUCGAGGAACUGCUCGGUAUACUGCCAGGCUUGAGGCGGGUAGGGGUGCUUGGAACUCUAGGUGGAGCGGUGAAAUGCGUAGAGAUCUAGGGGAACGCCUGUGGCGAAAGCGGAGCACUGGGCCUUGCCUGACGCUGAGACGCGAAAGCGUGGGUAGCAAACGGGAUUAGAUACCCCGGUAGUCCACGCCGUAAACGAUGCGCACUAGGUUUGUUGGCUUCUGACGGUCAGCGAGCCGAAACAAAAGCGUUAAUUGCGCCGCGUGGGGAGUACGGCCGCAAGGCUAAAACUCAAAUGAAUUGACGG
rnacentral:rRNA from 1 species